CCUACGGGUGGGCAGCAGUGAGGAAGAUUGGGCAAUGGGCGCAAGCCUGAACCAGCCAAGGCGCGUGAGGGAUGAAGGUCCGAUGGAUUGGAAACCUCUUUUGGCGGGGAGCAAGGCCCGCCACGUGGGGCGGGAAGGAGAGUACCCGAAGAAAAAGCAUCGGCUAACUCCGGGCCAGCAGCCGCGGUAAUACGGAGGAUGCGAGCGUUAUCCGGAUUUAUUGGGUUUAAAGGGUGCGUAGGCGGAAGGUUAAGUCAGCGGGAAAAUGUCGGUGCUCAACACCGGCCUGCCGUUGAAACGGGUCUUCUUGAGUGCGCGAGACGUAUGCGGAAUGCGUGGUGUAGCGGUGACAUGCCUAGAUAUCACGCAGACCUCCGAUUGCGAAGGCAGCAUACCGGCGCUCAACUGACGCUGAGGCACGAAAGCGUGGGUAUCGAACAGGAUUAGAUACCCUUGUAGUC
rnacentral:rRNA from 1 species